GCCUUGAUAGUCAAAUGGUGAGGCCUUCAUGGAAUAUAGGAGAUCUGGGUUCGAAUCCCAGCUAAGGUA
rnacentral:tRNA from 1 species